GGAAGGCAACGCUGGCUUUGCGUGGCUACCAGCUAUGAAGUGGACUCAGACUCUGUACACCCUUUCCUCGGGGGUGGGGGUUGUAAACCUUACUGGCAGGUACCACAGCCAAGGCCCCAGUGGAAGCCAGACUGAAGUUUGUGUAAAGUGCUGGACAGGGAUGGGCAGUCCCAAGUGGAUGCCCCGUGGAAGAGGCAGCUGGCUACCCCAGAGCAACAGGGUUUAAGUGGGUGGUUCAUCUCUGGGCCACAUCUGGUGUUUGGGCUUCAAAGAGUAUUUUCUUUGCAAAGAGCAGAGGCAGCAAACCGUUGCAUGGGUAAGUCUGGGGGAGGUACUCUGUCAUGGGUUCAAGGCCACCCUCUGUACCCCCAUGACAGACUGCUUAGCUUAAAUGUGCAAGGCUCUGGGAUGGAGUCACAGCCUGGUUUAAAAACAAAACAAAAACAAGGCAGGGUUAUGGGAGCUAUAGAACUGGCUCAUUGGGUAAAGUACAUGCAGGAAGGCCCAGAAUUUGGGUUCCCAUAACUCGUGUAAAAAGCUAAAGGUGAGCAUUUGUGUCAGCUGUCUAUAGUCCCAGCCCUUAGGAGGCAGGCAGACUCCCAUUACAAGUUGGCUAUGUGAUUGGGUAAGCUAUGGGUUCAGACACCCUAACUCGAUCAAGUACAGAGCAAUAGAGGAAGAGCCUUACUUCGGCUCUGGGCCUCCACACUUUCACACAUACAUGUGCACCCACAUGGGAAUGAAUAUGAGUACACAUGCUACAUAUGCCAAAUAAUAGAGGGAGGAGUCAGAGAGGCAGUUAGAGAUGGACAUUUCAUCAUCUGUAAAGGGUUAGUUUUGAGAUGGUGUCUUGUUGCCUGCUUCCAGCUCGAGUGUUGGGAUUACAGGCUUGAGCAGAAUUAACUGCACUGUUUUGUCUACAUAGCUCCUGGCUGUUUUAUGCUUCAAUGGCAGGACCAACAGUUGUGACAAGACUGGAAAGUCUGCAAAGCAAGCUGUUUGUCCCUUCAGCCUGUGAGGGUUCCUGUAAGGCUGAAGCAGAGGGGUCUCCAUGGCAGGUGGAGCUGCUCUGUUCUCAGUGCUGCGGGGCUCCUUACUUUCCUGUCUUGCUUUGGCAGAGGCUGAUCCCCGGCUGAUUGAGUCACUCUCUCAGAUGCUGUCCAUGGGUUUCUCGGAUGAAGGCGGCUGGCUCACCAGGCUCCUACAGACCAAGAAUUAUGACAUCGGGGCUGCUCUGGACACGAUCCAGUAUUCAAAGCACCCUCCACCAUUGUGACAGUGCUGUGGCCAAGUCCCACAACCCACCUCCCUUGUCUUCUAGUUGCAUCAUGUAGAGUAGCAGGGCUUCUAAGGCCCAGUGUCUUGGCAUUCUUCUAGAACCUUCAGGUGGGACUGUGAGGCCUUCUUAGGCAGUAGGAAAGUGCAUGAGAAGAGAGUCUGAGUGUGCACAUGCUGACCCCUGAGCACAGAUCCAAGCAGCUGUGGCUGGGCUUCCGCUGCUUUCCCUCGGCCUGGCCUUUGCCAGGGAGCUGUGGAGUCAUGCUGCACUCCACUUGCUCUUGCCGCCAGCAUUGCACCUGCAGUCCAUCAUCCCUGCCUGAUAACCUUCUGUGUUUUCUUUAUUAAAAGGGAUUAGUACAACUGAUAGUUAUUUUCAACAAAUAAAGCCAUUAUGUUUAGAGGGGGACUGUCCUCAGUGAGUGAAAGGUGG
rnacentral:lncRNA from 1 species